CUCUGGGCUUUGUUUGCGCAGGAUAGGUGGGAGGCGUUGAAAAUCUUCUCGUGGGAAGGUUAGAGCCAUUGGUGAGAUACCACUCUAACAAUGCUAGGAUUCUAACCCUAUACCGUUAGCCGGUUAGGGAACAGUUUCGGGUGGUCAGUUUGACUGGGGCGGUCGCCUCCCAAAAGGUAACGGAGGCGUGCAAAGGUUUCCUCAGGCUGGUCGGAAAUCAGUCGUAGAGUGUAAAGGCAUAAGGAAGCUUGAUUGUGAGACCUACAAGUCGAACAAAGACGAAAGUCGGCCUUAGUGAUCCGACGGUUCCGAGUGGAAGGGCCGUCGCUCAACGGAUAAAAGUUACUCUAGGGAUAACAGGCUGAA
rnacentral:rRNA from 1 species